rnacentral:lncRNA from 1 species
CUAUCUGCUGACUGGAUCAAGGAGGAAUAUCUGGAGUGGAGUUUCAUGAUAUACCUCCUUGACCUUUUCUGGUCUGAGUCAAGAUUUUGCCCUGCAAAUGGCAACAGCUCCAAGAAUCUGUCUGUGAACUCCUCUAUACUCAUCUCAUCAGUCUGCCUCAACUGCUCAAACUCUAUCAUCUUCAGCUCCUUUGAACUAUCUGGGAAA